UCAAGUGAAGAAGCGCAUACGGUGGAUGCCUUGGCAGUCAGAGGCGAUGAAAGACGUGGUAGCCUGCGAAAAGCUUCGGGGAGUCGGCAAACAGACUUUGAUCCGGAGAUCUCUGAAUGGGGGAACCCACCUAGGAUAACCUAGGUAUCUUGUACUGAAUCCAUAGGUGCAAGAGGCGAACCAGGGAACUGAAACAUCUAAGUACCCUGAGGAAAAGAAAUCAACCGAGAUUCCCUUAGUAGUGGCGAGCGAACGGGGAUUAGCCCUUAAGCUUCAUUGAUUUUAGCGGAACGCUCUGGAAAGUGCGGCCAUAGUGGGUGAUAGCCCCGUACGCGAAAGGAUCUUUGAAGUGAAAUCGAGUAGGACGGAGCACGAGAAACUUUGUCUGAACAUGGGGGGACCAUCCUCCAAGGCUAAAUACUACUGACUGACCGAUAGUGAACCAGUACCGUGAGGGAAAGGCGAAAAGAACCCCGGAGAGGGGAGUGAAAUAGAACCUGAAACCGUAUGCGUACAAGCAGUGGGAGCCUACUUGUUAGGUGACUGCGUACCUUUUGUAUAAUGGGUCAGCGACUUAUAUUCAGUGGCAAGCUUAACCGUAUAGGGUAGGCGUAGCGAAAGCGAGUCUUAAUAGGGCGUUUAGUCGCUGGGUAUAGACCCGAAACCGGGCGAUCUAUCCAUGAGCAGGUUGAAGGUUAGGUAACACUGACUGGAGGACCGAACCCACUCCCGUUGAAAAGGUAGGGGAUGACUUGUGGAUCGGAGUGAAAGGCUAAUCAAGCUCGGAGAUAGCUGGUUCUCCUCGAAAGCUAUUUAGGUAGCGCCUCAUGUAUCACUCUGGGGGGUAGAGCACUGUUUCGGCUAGGGGGUCAUCCCGACUUACCAAACCGAUGCAAACUCCGAAUACCCAGAAGUGCCGAGCAUGGGAGACACACGGCGGGUGCUAACGUCCGUCGUGAAAGGGAAACAACCCAGACCGCCAGCUAAGGUCCCAAAGUUGUGGUUAAGUGGUAAACGAUGUGGGAAGGCUUAGACAGCUAGGAGGUUGGCUUAGAAGCAGCCAUCCUUUAAAGAAAGCGUAAUAGCUCACUAGUCGAGUCGGCCUGCGCGGAAGAUGUAACGGGGCUCAAACCACACACCGAAGCUGCGGGUGUCACGUAAGUGACGCGGUAGAGGAGCGUUCUGUAAGCCUGUGAAGGUGAGUUGAGAAGCUUGCUGGAGGUAUCAGAAGUGCGAAUGCUGACAUGAGUAACGACAAUGGGUGUGAAAAACACCCACGCCGAAAGACCAAGGGUUCCUGCGCAACGUUAAUCGACGCAGGGUUAGUCGGUUCCUAAGGCGAGGCUGAAAAGCGUAGUCGAUGGGAAACAGGUUAAUAUUCCUGUACUUCUGGUUACUGCGAUGGAGGGACGGAGAAGGCUAGGCCAGCUUGGCGUUGGUUGUCCAAGUUUAAGGUGGUAGGCUGAAAUCUUAGGUAAAUCCGGGGUUUCAAGGCCGAGAGCUGAUGACGAGUCGUCUUUUAGAUGACGAAGUGGUUGAUGCCAUGCUUCCAAGAAAAGCUUCUAAGCUUCAGGUAACCAGGAACCGUACCCCAAACCGACACAGGUGGUCGGGUAGAGAAUACCAAGGCGCUUGAGAGAACUCGGGUGAAGGAACUAGGCAAAAUGGCACCGUAACUUCGGGAGAAGGUGCGCCGGCUAGGGUGAAGGAUUUACUCCGUAAGCUCUGGCUGGUCGAAGAUACCAGGCCGCUGCGACUGUUUAUUAAAAACACAGCACUCUGCAAACACGAAAGUGGACGUAUAGGGUGUGACGCCUGCCCGGUGCCGGAAGGUUAAUUGAUGGGGUUAGCGCAAGCGAAGCUCUUGAUCGAAGCCCCGGUAAACGGCGGCCGUAACUAUAACGGUCCUAAGGUAGCGAAAUUCCUUGUCGGGUAAGUUCCGACCUGCACGAAUGGCGUAACGAUGGCGGCGCUGUCUCCACCCGAGACUCAGUGAAAUUGAAAUCGCUGUGAAGAUGCAGUGUAUCCGCGGCUAGACGGGAAGACCCCGUGAACCUUUACUGUAGCUUUGCACUGGACUUUGAGCCUGCUUGUGUAGGAUAGGUGGGAGGCUUUGAAGCGUGGACGCCAGUUCGCGUGGAGCCAUCCUUGAAAUACCACCCUGGCAUGCUUGAGGUUCUAACUCUGGUCCGUGAUCCGGAUCGAGGACAGUGUAUGGUGGGCAGUUUGACUGGGGCGGUCUCCUCUAAAGAGUAACGGAGGAGUACGAAGGUGCGCUCAGACCGGUCGGAAAUCGGUCGCAGAGUAUAAAGGCAAAAGCGCGCUUGACUGCGAGACAGACACGUCGAGCAGGUACGAAAGUAGGUCUUAGUGAUCCGGUGGUUCUGUAUGGAAGGGCCAUCGCUCAACGGAUAAAAGGUACUCCGGGGAUAACAGGCUGAUACCGCCCAAGAGUUCAUAUCGACGGCGGUGUUUGGCACCUCGAUGUCGGCUCAUCACAUCCUGGGGCUGAAGCCGGUCCCAAGGGUAUGGCUGUUCGCCAUUUAAAGUGGUACGCGAGCUGGGUUUAGAACGUCGUGAGACAGUUCGGUCCCUAUCUGCCGUGGACGUUUGAGAUUUGAGAGGGGCUGCUCCUAGUACGAGAGGACCGGAGUGGACGAACCUCUGGUGUUCCGGUUGUCACGCCAGUGGCAUUGCCGGGUAGCUAUGUUCGGAAAAGAUAACCGCUGAAAGCAUCUAAGCGGGAAACUUGCCUCAAGAUGAGAUCUCACUGGGAACUUGAUUCCCCUGAAGGGCCGUCGAAGACUACGACGUUGAUAGGCUGGGUGUGUAAGCGUUGUGAGGCGUUGAGCUAACCAGUACUAAUUGCCCGUGAGGCUUGACCA
rnacentral:rRNA from 1 species